rnacentral:lncRNA from 1 species
CUCAAACACGGAGGAUCACUUCCCUGUGGUCAAACCAUGUAGCAGAGUUACAUCAACCAACAAUGCAAAGUUCAAGGAUCUGGACCCCGCCAUGACAAGGCUGUUGAAGCAGGCAGAGCUCCCUCUGGAAGAGUUGAAGGACAGAGAUAUUGCUGAGGUUGUUGACUGUAUUAUAAAUAAAUUUGGAGGAAUAACGGCUGUGCAAAAAGUGCUAAGACAUAAAGACUCAGUGUCCGAGACACUAACAAAACCAGAAGGAUGUCAUCAUCUCCCAGCAGAAGAGACAGAACCAACUUCAGAUUCCUCCUCCAAAUUCUCCCGUUCCAGAGUUGAUCAGAAAGAGUGCAAGUUUUAAACUUGUAAGUAGAUCAGGAUACACACAAUUUCAGUUCUAUGAUAUAGAAUGAUGUGCAAUGUGCUCUUUGAGCUUCACUUUCCUUUGUGGUAUUAGGUGAGCUCCUCACCAGAUCCAGAAAACGGGGACGACAUCCUGACUGUGCUGACAAAAGCAUUACAAAACCAGCUGCCCCAGCAAAACACAAGCACAAAUGGAAGUAAAAUGCUCAAGAUGGCACCUUGCACCUUGAAGAAAUAUUGAUCUUUAAGAAUGAUAUAAUUAGGAUUUGUGAUCAUGGGUGGCAUGGUGUAAUGCUGGUUACUGUUGUUGACCCACAACAAGAAGGGUCUGGGUUCGAUUCUGGGAAUCUCCAAUAGUGUUUCUGUGCUACAUUGCUAAACUGUGGAAUUAGCAGAUAAAAGAAAAUGUUGAGGGCGUUUAGGGAUUACAAAUUUGGGAACACACCAUGUGAACAGAUCCCUCCUGAAGGCAGAUAAUUAAUGCAAACCCACUUUGGCUAGUAUUGUACUGAUAGUGUAGCAGCCAUAAUCAAUACAUUUGUUCUGACUUUCGGCUUAAAGUCGGCUAUAAAAAGCGUCGGCCCUUCACCGAUCAUCCUCCCUGAACACGGCCUCAGUUUCUGGAGAAUCCAGUGCUCUUCGGAGGGAGAGUGAUCUGUUAUAUUCUCUAUGAGCGAUAGGCUGCAGAUCCUCAGCUGAGGGAAUGUGUUACAUAUGCAAGCUUAUUGGCCAUAUGGAAGUAAUGGGACCAAACGAAGCCAUGUAUUUACAGUAACGCAGCCAUCAGCAGCAGUGUUUCACCCAAUAAUAAUAAUUAAAAAAAACACCAAUCACAGGAUGUGUUUUAUUAUUUAUUCAAGUCUGCCUUUCCUGGGAAAAUGAAAAGUCAUAAGUAUAAAAUGCCAAUCAUGCUUAACAAAACAUUUUAAAGUACCAUUUACUGCAGGCCCUUUUCCUCAUACUCCAGUUGCUCAAUCUCAAAUUUUAGUUUCUUGAUUUGCAACUUUUUUCUGAUUAUCCAGCACUAGAUUUCAUUUAUAAAGGCCCCCCACAUUGUCUGCUCCAGCAUGUAUGAAUAGGACAUCAAGCAACAGAGAUGAGUGAGAUAGACUUUUCAGUUAUAUUGGUGUAGUGUGUUCAUCUUUGGUAAGGAUUACUUCUAAAAAGUAGACAUAGGACUGAAAUUAUAAAGCCCUUACCCCUUGUUUUUUUUUCUGUGGGCCUACAGGUGGAGGCCACAGGCUGAAGGGAGGGUUGCACAACGUCCUCUCCCUGCGACAUUAAUGAGCAAGAAAAUGAAUUGUCUUUAAUUUAAUAGGAUUUUACUUUGAAAGGAUGAAUAAAAUUUUUUUGAUGAAAUUCUUAGAUUAUUAAAAUAUCUACCCCAAAGGUACCUCUGAAUACACUGAAUAGUGUCUCCUAAUCAUUGAUCUCCACCUGUGGAAUAGUUAACAGUAUAUGACAACUCUCUUUGACAGUCACCUCUGUGUGGGGGUCACCAAGGGUGUGUGCUGGCGGCUUGAGCAACUUCACAGUGUCUCCCUCAACUGUAAAUUAGAUUAAGACUUUUCUCACCUUGUCACACCGUGGUGAGGUUGUCUUGUCUGGGCUUACUGUGUCUUGUCAUUUCCUGUUUUAUUUUGAAAUGCCUAACUCUCCUCUCGUUUCAGAACACUUGCCCUUCCUCAUGUCUCCUGUGUGCCCUCAUGAUUACCAAUUGUCUCCACCUGUUCCCCAUUUUCCCCCACAGUUCAAAUAGUCUGUCUUCCCCUUGUCUUGUGCCAGUGUGUCGUCGAUUCGUGUCUCACACCAGGGCACAAUUUCUAUACGCGUUAGCCCUUUUUCCCCAUAGCCUUUUAUUCUUUCCUCUGCAUGAGUGACUUUUUGUUUGUAAAUUCUUUGGAUAGAUUAAUGUUCAUAGCUUUUGUGAUUUUUGAGUUUUAAUAACGUUUUCAUAGAAGUACCUUGAUCCUCCGCUUAGUAGCGUGAGUGAGUUUCUCUUUUUUUAUUAGUCAGGUUUUUCCUCCCUACUGAGUGUUUUUUGUUUUCCCCCUUUUUUCCUUGUGACAUCCCUUUAAGUUAAUGUUUCAUAGCCCUGUUUCCUUUUUUCACUUGGGUCUGAGAUCAUUGCUGCCAAGAAUAAAGUCUGUGUCUUACAAAGCCUCUGCAUCUGAGUCCUAUCUGAGUCCUGGCCUGACACACCUGAGAAACAAUAAAUAUGCAUUUGGUAUUUUACCACCAAAGCACUUAUACAUACCCUGGAAAAAGAAUAGCUGCUGGGAG